CCUACGGGGGGCAGCAGUGGGGAAUAUUGCGCAAUGGGCGAAAGCCUGACGCAGCGACGCCGCGUGAGGGAUGAAGGUCUUCGGAUCGUAAACCUCUGUCAGCAGGGAAGAACGGUCACUGUGCUAAUCAGCAGUGAAUUGACGGUACCUGCAAAGGAAGCACCGGCUAACUCCGUGCCAGCAGCCGCGGUAAUACGGAGGGUGCGAGCGUUAAUCGGAAUUACUGGGCGUAAAGCGCUCGUAGGCGGUAUGUCAAGUCAAGGGUGAAAGCCCCGCGCUCAACGUGGGAACUGCCUUUGAAACUGGCAAACUGGAGUGUGUGAGAGGAUAGUGGAAUUCCAGGUGUAGGAGUGAAAUCCGUAGAUAUCUGGAGGAACAUCAGUGGCGAAGGCGUCUAUCUGGCACAUAACUGACGCUGAGGAGCGAAAGCGUGGGUAGCAAACAGGAUUAGAUACCCCAGUAGUC
rnacentral:rRNA from 1 species